UAUACACUCCCUCCGUUUGGAAUUACUUGUCGCAGACAUGGAUGUAUCUAGACGUAUUUUAGUUCUAGAUACAUCCAUUUUCGCGACAAGUAAUUCCGAACGGAGGGAGUAUUUA
rfam:Triticum aestivum genome assembly, contig: Triticum_aestivum_CS42_TGACv1_scaffold_513398_6BS